UCCUUGAAUGUUCUAUUCUUCGUGUGGUACUCUACUCAAGAGGGGGCAAUCAUGUGUAAUUAGUUAUGAUUGACACCUCUGUGAGUGGAGUAACACAUGAUAUAUACAUCAAAGGA
rnacentral:pre_miRNA from 1 species